rnacentral:rRNA from 1 species
UACGAGUGGCCCAAGCGUUAAUCGGAAUCACUGGGCUUAAAGCGUGCGCAGGCGGACCUGAAGGCGUCUUGUGAAAUCCCGCGGCUCAACCGCGGAAUUGCAGGGCGAACCACAGGUCUUGAGGCAGGUAGGGGGAGAUGGAACUGUCGGUGGAGCGGUGAAAUGCGUAGAUAUCGACAGGAACGCCGGUGGCGAAGGCGAUCUCCUGGGCCUGUCCUGACGCUCAUGCACGAAAGCGUGGGGAGCAAACAGG